rnacentral:misc_RNA from 1 species
UUCGACAUCAAGCGAUGUGUGUGGACGGUUCAGUGGUUGCCCAGGGGUGGGGGUGGUACCCUGCUGGGAGGGAGAGGGCGAGGGGGGAUGUUUUCCCCACCCGUGACAUCGCGGUGGUGAUUGCACCAACCAUAGUUGAAGCAACCAUGCCCCCUCCCGCCCCACCUACCGAUACCAGAAAAGUAUACAUGGGAUCACCGCCGACAAGGGACAAAGUACUUCGCGGCAAUCAGACGACAACAAGCAACGGCGAGGAGAAGAACAACGGAGGAGGAGGUGGUGGAACGGGAGGAGGAGGAACUGGAGGAGGAGGUAAUAGGACGAGGAGAGUGCAGAACAGGGAGAAGAGAGGGCUGAAAUCGGGGAGAAGUUAUUCGGAGGAUUUGAGUAAGAUGCUGCCGGCUGCUUGGAGGGAUACUAAGCCUAGUCCUACCUCAGGUCACCCAGAAGUUUCGAGAAGGCUCCUGCUAGAGGAAUUCGAGAGCGAGUGCAAACUGAAGGACAUUGCCGACUCGAUCACCAGGCCGCGCCACCGUCGAGUCACCACAACGGCCGCCAACAUUGCCACUGCUGCCAACUCAAACAACCAGGAGCCAACCAGGGAUGGCGAUACGCAGUCUGCCAAACAGAUUCGUGGCGAUCCUGAUGGCUGUGGCUUGGACCUAUCCUCACUGAGGUAUUCGCCAUCCUCAGAACUCAGGGUUGAUUUACCUGCUGAAGAUUUGCUCAACAUUAAGAAAGGCUGGCUCAUGAAGCAGGCUUCCGAAAAGGAAUGGAACAAGCACUGGUUUGUUUUGCGAGGGGCUGCACUGUUGUACUAUAGGGAUCCGGCCGCCGAGGAUCAGGGCAUUUUGGAUGGGGUCAUUGACCUCAGUGGGGUCAGUUCUGUCACUGAGGUUCAGGUGGCUCGCAACUAUGGAUUCCAAACUAUGACAUGGGAUGACCGUCGGUACGUGCUUUCGGCGGUGACGGCGGGGAUUCGCUCCAAUUGGAUGGCUGCUAUUAGAAGGGCGGCUGGCCUACAGGAGGAAAUAACUGCUACAACAUCUAUACCUGCGGAACGCGAGCUAGUGACGUCAUCUUCGUCUGUCUCAGUAGUGUCGGUGGCGCCGCGACGCUCCCUGGCAUUCUCCUCGGAUGGAGACGACGAGUACCGGACGGCGUCGGAAGGGGGCCGAAGGGGGAGUAGUAGUGACUGGGGAGACGCACCCCUGCCCCCUUCCCCGCCUCUUAACAGGACGCCCAUUUCGAGGGUCAAGGAGAGGGCCAGGGGCGGAUCGAAGUCUAGGGGCUACCAAGGCGGUGGCAGCAGCAGCAGCAGUAAGCGGUCGCGGUCGUCGCCGCCCUCCUCACGAAGGUCCACCCUCGACUCGGUGCGCACUGAGGAUCUGGUGCGUGCGUGCUGUCAGUCCGACCUUGACAUCGGGUCAAUCAAUACGCCGGAGAAGCAGCCAUGCAACGAACUGGACGAAAUCAAGAAACAGCUGACCGGUGCGCUGAGAGAGUUGAGCAGUGCUGAAGAGGAGCUGCUCAGGCUAAGACAGAGGAAAGCUGACAUUUCUUCUCUAGAAACACAGGUUGAAGAUCUUUUGAAGAGGGUAGAAGAAGCUGGAAAGCAACGCGCCAAAGACUGUGCCGAAUUAGAUAGUCUGAAGAAAAGGUUCAUAGACGACAAAUCGCACUGGGAACACGACCUGCAGCGCGCAGAGUGCGAACUGCAAGCAGCGAGCGAUCGGUGCGCGCAGCUGUGUGCCGAACUUAGCGCCAAGAACGGCGACAUCUGUCGGCUGGAAGCGGAACUAGCACGUGGCGAUCAGCUGAUCGAGCGGCUAAAAUCAGAACUGCAUUCGGUGGGCGACCGGCUCAGCAACGGCAUCGAGGAAAACGAUGCACUGUAUCGACGCAUUCGCGAACUGGAGGGCCGGGGAGGCAAUUCGGUGGUCGUUCAGGUGCGGGACAAGGCCAGGAGUGUGGACUCGUUGAGCGAUCUCACCAACAUUGAUCUGGACUUGGAUUUGCAGCAGUUGGACAAGGAUCGAGUGGUGGAGGAGUACGAAGACCUGCGUACCCGGUUCGAGAAGGCGGUGGCGGAGAUUCGCGCGAUGAAGCGGGAACUGCGCGAAUCGCAGACGGCUGCGGACUGCCUGGAGUUGAGCCUGAUUCACGCCCGCCAAGAACUGCAGUGUCGUCAGAGUGACGCAGACGCCCAGCAGUCGCUUAUGGCCGCUCGUAUACAGGAUUUGGCCACCAAGCUGUCCAACGCCGAGAAACAGAUUCGUGCCCUGAAGCAAAAACUGUCCAAGUCAGAAACACGUGACAAACGGCGCUCUCUCUCACUCAAAGGCCGUGAAUCCUUCUCCAUCUGCAAAGAACUUGAAGACAAGUUGGCCGAACUUGAAAAGAAAAUCUGUGCACUGGAUAACAGCGGCAUCACUGCCAUCACCAAUGGCAGCACAGACACUCAGGAACAUGAUGAUUCCAAACAGAAACCCCAAUUACCUCAUACCUCUUCUAGUCCAGAAACAAACGGCUCAAGUAGUAAGGUUAGCGCCGCCAGGUUGCGGCGAAAGUCGCUAGAUAGCGCCACCAGCUCUGAACCAAUGAAAGUGCUCAUCCGCAUGAACUCGCUGGAGGCGAAAGUGAGCAAAGCUGCCAAAGGCAUCAUGAUUAGUCGGUCGUCACCACCCGCCAAUGACGACAUACCUGAACACCCGGUUGUGUUGAAUGUUGAAGACUCUGUUGAUGGGCCAGAAGGCUUGAAAGUUGAGGUUGUCAAUGAGGUGAGAAAGAUGGAGAAUCUGUUGAGGGUGAAGUUGGGUGAGCUGGCAAAGAAGAAGGAAGCGCUAAUAUCAGCAGGGGAGUGGAAUGAUGAGAACAAGCUGAAUCUACUAGCUGAGAAACUCGCCUAUGAAUCAGUGUUGGUUGGAAGGUUACAUGAUGCUGUCUCCGACUCCAAUAUGGCUGACUGCAAGGAUGCCAACCGUCUGAUGUCCAUGUUGGAGGUGAAGUUGAAUGGUGGCAAACCCAACAUUGAAACUUCUUUUGAUUAUCUCACACGUACGUUGAGUAGGCACCUUAUGGAGCAAAGCAGGGUGAAGCCCAGGAAGGUGAAAGAGAGAAAGAAGGUGGCGGGAGGUAGUUUUGUGGAGGAUUUGAAACAGAAGAAGAAGGUGUUGGAUGGGAGGACUGAGAAGUUUCUGGAGGAUGUCAUUGAGGAGUUGGCCAUGGUGUUUGCUGUGGAGACUCUGGGGGAUGAUGUGAGGUGCUCUGGGAGGAUACAGGAGGCAUGGAGUUUGGCUCAGGAAGCUGUCAACCAGGAGUUGAUCCAAGCGGAAAUAUCCCAAGUCAUGCAACAGUGUACAAAAACUUAUGAGAGUUUGAUGGAUAGGGAGGAUGAGACACGGUUCUUGGGACUGAUCCAGCAGAGGGCAUCGCUGGAGUGCUGGGGGAAUUUGGCGGCAGACAUGUUGAACGGAGAGAUGGAGAAAGCUGUGAGCCGGCUACAUGAGAAAUACCAGGCGAACUUGGUGAGGUUAAAAGGUGAGAAGGAGAAUGUGGUUGGUGGCUUGAGUGAGGAAGACGAGGAGAAAGCUAGAGUGCUGUUGCAGCGGUUUGUUGAUAUAGUUGCACACAAGUCACUGUUAGACACUAGGAUGGCGUUGCUGUGUGAGGGUGAUGAAGAGUCCGGCCCGGAGGACCAGGAAACGUGGAUAUUUGAUGAGGUGUCGUUUCUAACUGAAGUACAAAAUCUGUAUGUGAAGUUUUGUUUUGACCUUCACAACGAAGGUGAGGAGAGGAUCAAGGAGGCGUUUGGUGACGUUUUGAAGGAGGUGGACUCGCUGCGUGACCACGUGGUCGACUGUGUGAAGGUGGACGCGAGUGCGAGCGUGGUGGGCACUGACAGCCUGGCCAGUGUGCGGUCGGAGGGGUCGGACUGGGUGGAGGUGGCCUGCUGCUACUGCGGCGAGAUCAAGGAGCGACUGGUGCAGCUGCAGAUGUGCCUGGCUCAGGGCAAGGAGUGUCAGCGCUGCAACAGUCUACAGGAGGAGUUGGACAGGAGAGAAAGCAAACAUCGUGAGGUCCUAAACAGCACCCAUCAACGGCAGCAGAUGGAGUUGUCAGAACUGCAGAACUCCCUGGAACAGGAAAGACAAAAACUGGUGUGCCAACACGAGCAGGAGCAGUCGGCGCUGAAGGAGCGCGCGCGCAAACUGGAGCGGCGCCUCGGCACCCUGGACUCUGAGUACACGCAGCAGAUGGACAACCUGCGUGCCGCCUACCACAAGACGCUCUCCACCUCCCUGGACAGGGACCACCUCCAGGGCGAGGAGACUGUGCGUCUGCGCUAUCAGGCCGAGAUCGAACAGCUCAGGGCACUUUGCGAAAAAGGAUUGAUGGGGAUGGAGAAUUCUCACCGGAGAAUAAUCGCUGAACUGGAGGAGAAACAUCGACAAGAGUUGGAAGCACUGAGAGUGGAGAAAGAGCAGGCUCUGGCCGAAGAAACUCAAGCCACUCUAGCUGCUUUGGAUGCAAUGCGUAAAGCUCACGAAGCCGAAGUACAAAAAGAAAUAACCAAAUUUAAGUCGGAAUUCCUCAAGAAAAUGCAAUCCUCACACGAUAUAGGAGCAUUGCAUAAGGAGCAAGAUGGCUGCUGGUAUAUGAAUCAACUUCGAGAAAUGGGAAUUCCGAACGAAAAUGAAAAUAACUUUGCAAUAGCAGUGCGAGCCGAAAUGGAAGAGAUAAAGCAGGAGAUUCUGUCUCUGUCUGAGAAGUACUCAGUGAAAUGUGUGGAGUCGGCAGCCUUAGAGGAAGAACUGAGAGUAGCCAAUAACCAGCUAGCUCAAGCUCAACAACAUAUUUUGCAAUUAGACUCAAGAAACAAACAAUUACGAGCUCACCUGAUGGCAGAAGCCAAUGACCUGGCCAAAGAGUGUGAACUGACACCCGAAGAUAAAACCAAAGAGUCACCAAUUAAAAAUGAAAUAGGAACGACAGCUGUAUAGAUCCCAUUCUAAAGAGUAAAACUCGCUUGGAACCCUUAUCUCUGAACAGUUCAGAGUUGAAGAGGUAUUCAGCCCUAGUAUGCGGUCGCAGUGUUCUACCCCCUCUGCGUUCCCCCUCCCCCUGCGCUCUGAGUGGGAUGGUGGCUGAGCGCAAGAAGAUCUUCGAACAGUAGUCUCUCUCUAUCUCCCCCUUCCCCUCUCUGUUCCAUAACUUAAAAUGCUUUUUAUGUAAUUUAUAAAACCCUCUAAUAUAUUUUUACUUCUCUGGUCACCUGUAAUAUCUUCUUGCUCUCUCUCCCUUAAGGGUUGUGUGGCAGAAAGGACCAGGAGUCCUAACUCCGCCCUAAUAAAGGCAUAUAAUCAAUCCAUCAAUCCCUCUCUCUUUCUGUUCCUCUUUCUUUUUCUGUCUUCCUCUCUCUGUCCUAAAAGUUGCUUUUUCUAUUACUUUCAGGAUAUUUUUCUAAAAUCUACUACACCCUCCAAUAUAUCUGUACUUCUUUGGUCACCCUGUAAUCUUUUGUUUUUCGUUGUCUCCGUCUCUCUUUUUUCUGUCUUAAAAGCUGUUUUUUUAACAUCUAUACUACUGUUUAAAUACAUCUUUACUUCUCAGCUUACCCUGUAAGCUCUUCUUUUUCGUGUCCUCUCUCUCUCUCUCUCUCUCUCUCUCUCUCUCUCUCUCUCACUCUCUCUCUCUCUCUCUCUCUUCAUCUCGCUCGGUUUCUCUCUGUCAUUCAGUAAUUUUUUCCUCAUCGUGAAAGCAUAUUUCUAACGAUUCGAUUCCAAUGAAACUCAUAGCUAUGUAAGCGAUUCCAAUAAACUCAAUAUCUCAUCUUAUAGCUGUCAUAUCUCCUUGGCUAACCAGUAGUGUAAUGACAAGGCAUUCUGCCUUCAAGUUGGAUAAGAUGUUUUAUUUUCCUCGAUAGUCGAUAUAUUUCUAACAUGAUUCUAUUGUCACUUUCAAUAUUGAAUACAUAAAGUAUGUUGAAAACUGUUAACAGUUGAGAGAUUACAUAAUACAAUAUGCUGUUGGGUGUUGCCUGUCAAGAUUUAAUAGUAUUGCUUUGCCUAUUGAGUUGAUUCUCAUUGAGGUGAAAUAUAUGUAUUAUCUAGUAGUUUCUUGAUUCCCCCUUGUUUGAAAUUUUUGAGUUCUUACACAUCAGAUCGGAAUGUGUAAUGAAUAUAUUGUCAUUUGGCUGAGAGAAAAUGUGGAAAGUAAAUACAGUGAUUUAAUUCUUUUCAGAAAUUUUCAAGUUGAUUCUCAUCAAAAUAGAAGACAAAAUAAUGAUGAAUUUGAAAGAAAGGAUGGAGUAGUAAAAAUAGAUUUUGAAUUGAUUCUUACCUUUUGUGAGGAUAUAAAAAUGGAAAUUCAUUUUGAGAUUAAUUUGAAAGACAUUUUGAAGCAGUAGAAGAUAAAUUUGAGACAAUAAAUUCGAUUCAUUAUUACGAAUAUAAUUUGUAAUAUCAAAUUAUUACAGUUUGAAGUGCAAGAUUCAGAGUCCCAUCAUGAAACUUCAGUCAUUUUUUUGUAAGUUAUUCUUAAGUUCUUAUGAUUUUGAAGUAAUUUGAUUGGAAAAUAUUAAGUAGGAUGUAUUGAAAGUCGGAUUUCAAGAACCGUAUCAAAGGUAAUGAAGUCAAGAUGCGGGGUACAAUAAUUAAAUGUCCUCAAAUUCAGUACAUUAAUAAAUAAUAUCCAAAAUUAGUUAAUCCUAUGUUCUCUUCCUCAGAAAAUAUUGAUUUAUAACUUAUUGAAACCGGAAAUUUCCUACAUCAUGAUCCCUCUUAUAGAAUAAUAUAAAACAACUCCAUAUAAAAAAAAUAUUUUUAUGCUGCUUUUCAAAUUGGGAAGAGUAUUAUAUACUCGAAGGAGUAUAGUAUUACUAAAAGCAAGAUAAUCCUUGGAGUUUUGUACCUAGCUUUAAUGGAAAGGCGUAGAGUAGGCAUAGAACGGUGGAAUUGAACAUUGUGCUUUUUGAAUGUGUAUUGUUAUCGUUGUGUGAGUAAUUUAUCCGGGUCCAAAAGCAAUUAAAAUCAUUAUAAAUUAUAUAAAACGAAUUUAUUGAAAAUGAAUACUGUUACUCCUUAUAGAUUAAGUUUGUUACAAAUAUAAGUGGAUUGGAGUCAAAAUAAAAAAUUGUUUGAGACAAUUAUUGUUUCUUAAUAUAUUCAGGAUAUUCUAAGUAGUGAAUCUACAUUAAUGAAUUCUAAAUAUGAAGUUUGGACCAGUUCCAAUAUCAGUUACAAGUUUAAAGAGUAUCAGUAAGUCAUAACAUUUGAAGCAUAAUUCAUAUUCGAAGAUUUAUAAGGGAGCAUAAUAAUAUAUUUUAAUUGUUAAUUUUCUUAUAAUGUGUGUGAACUAAUAUUCCCGGUGAAGUAUGGU